GGUGGGGGUGGGGUUAAUCAGGUUUCCUAUGUGUGGGUGGUCACACAUCACUAGUUUGGGAAAGCGCACCAGAAGGAGUCGCAAUGGCAUUCAAUCAGUCUUCAGAUGUAGGUGGGUGUGGAGAGAUGGUGACGAAGGAGGACGCUCAGUUAAAUGAAUUUAGUUGGCCCUGGAACAAGGACAAGGGAGACGGCAAGGACAAGUCUGACAAAAAGGACAAGUCUGACAAAAAGGACAAGUCUGACAAAAAGCACGAGUCUGACAAAAAGCACGAGUCAAAGGACAAAGACGGCAAGAAGGACAAGAAUAAAACAAAGGGACAUAAGGAGCAUAAAGAGCAUAAGGAGCACAAGGAAGGUGAAGGAUCAGGCAACUCAUCUUCAUCUUCAUCAUCCUCAUCUUCAUCCUCCAGCAGUGAUGAGGAGUGAUGCUUCCUGGGAGAGCGGACGGCUCCGUCAGUCUCUGAUGAUCUUGUCUAAGUAGACGUGCGGGGUUGAGUGUGCAGCAGGAGCAACUUUUCUUCAUGUCCUUUCAUUGGCAUCACAGAAACAUGCUGGUCUUGUGUAAACAAAUCUGCUGAUUCCUAGAAGUAAAUGUUUUGACAACAGAAAACCUGCAGGAGUUUUUCCCCCCCCCCAUUCUUCUGUCAAGUAAAGUGUUUUCUUCACCACAAGAUGGCAGUGUUGUGUAUUUGUAAAGGUCAUUCACAGUUUGAAGUCUUCAGAAGAUUAAAGCACUUUUAUAUUCAAGAUAUUGUUAAGAAUACACAACAUAUAGAAAAUGUUGUUGUUUGUCACUGCAAUUAAUUUGGAUCAAUUUAGUUAAAAUGACAAAACAAAUAGAUUAUCUUUAGAAAAAAAAAAUAUUAAUGUAGUCAUUUAAUAUGGGUCAAAAAUGUUAAAUAGCUAGUACUGAUGCUGAUUAAUGUCGUAGGUGUUGCUGCAUUUAUAUUCUAUGAACAAUGUAUACAAAUGCAUCACAUUUG
rnacentral:lncRNA from 1 species